GCCACUGUGAUGGAAUUGGUAGACAUGACGGAUUCAAAAUCCGUUGCCUUCGGGCGUGGCGGUUCAAGUCCGCCCAGUGGUA
rnacentral:tRNA from 1 species